GACGAACGCUGGCGGCGUGCUUAACACAUGCAAGUCGAACGGCAAGGCCCUGCUUUUGUGGUGUGCUCGAGUGGCGAACGGGUGAGUAACACGUGAGUAACCUGCCCUUGACUUUGGGAUAACUUCAGGAAACUGGGGCUAAUCCCGGAUAGGAGCUCCUGCUGCAUGGUGGGGGUUGGAAAGUUUCGGCGGUUGGGGAUGGACUCGCGGCUUAUCAGCUUGUUGGUGGGGUAGUGGCUUACCAAGGCUUUGACGGGUAGCCGGCCUGAGAGGGUGACCGGCGACAUUGGGACUGAGAUACGGCCCAGACUCGUACGGGAGGCAGCAGGGGGGAAUAUUGCACAACGGGCGGAAGCCUGAUGCAGCAACGCCGCGUGCGGGAUGACGGCCUUCGGGGUGUAAACCGCUUUCGCCUGUGACGAAGCGGGAGUGACGGUAAUGGGUAAAGAAGCACCGGCUAACUACGUG
rnacentral:rRNA from 1 species